AUUGUGACAUGUUAAACAAAAACGCCCGACAGGUGUGCGCUGCCGGGCGUUUUUGACGGGG
rfam:Salmonella enterica subsp. enterica serovar Macclesfield str. S-1643 chromosome, complete genome.